UACGUAGGGAGCAAGCGUUGUCCGGAAUCAUUGGGCGUAAAGCGCGCGUAGGCGGCCCUGUAAGUCCGUUGUGAAAGUCAAAGGCUCAACCUUUGAAAGCCGAUGGAUACUGCAGGGCUAGAGUUCGGAAGAGGCGAGUGGAAUUCCUGGUGUAGCGGUGGAAUGCGCAGAUAUCAGGAGGAACACCGGUGGCGAAGGCGGGUCUCUGGGCCGAUACUGACGCUGAGGAGCGAAAGCGUGGGGAGCGAACAGG
rnacentral:rRNA from 1 species